AAUCAACGCUGGCGGCGUGCCUCAGACAUGCAAGUCGAACGCGAAAUUUCCCUUCGGGGAGAAAGUAGAGUGGCGCACGGGUGAGUAACACGUGGGUAAUUUACCUUCGGGUGGGAUAACAGUCGGAAACGACUGCUAAUACCGCAUGAUGCAGCGGCACCACAUGGUGACAGUUGUUAAAGCGGGGAUCGCAAGACCUCGCGCCUGAAGAGAAGCCCGCGGCAGAUUAGCUAGUUGGCAAGGUAAUGGCUUACCAAGGCAACGAUCUGUAGCCGGCCUGAGGAGGGCGGGUCGGCC
rnacentral:rRNA from 1 species